rnacentral:tRNA from 1 species
UAUGUAUUAGUGUAGGAUGCACAGAGAUUUUUGAUUUCUUUAGUCUUAGUUUAAUUCUAAGGUAUAUAA